GAAACAGCAAAGGAGCUUACUUCAGUCCACUCAUGGAUGUUUACAGGAUUUGAAUUACCUGUCGACUCAUUCGUUCGAACAUGCAAUCAAUCGUAGCUGUCAAUUCGAUUGUGUGAAUGAGUGAAUGAUGCGGGAGAUAAUUCUUUCCUUGAUCAUCUUUCCAUGCUUGGACUGAAGGGUGCUCCCUCUCUCUUUUCU
rnacentral:pre_miRNA from 1 species